AGUGAACGCUGGCGGUAGGCCUAACACAUGCAAGUCGAACGGCAGCACAGGAGAGCUUGCUCUCUGGGUGGCGAGUGGCGGACGGGUGAGGAAUACAUCGGAAUCUACUCUGUCGUGGGGGAUAACGUAGGGAAACUUACGCUAAUACCGCAUACGACCUACGGGUGAAAGCAGGGGACCUUCGGGCCUUGCGCGAUUGAAUGAGCCGAUGUCGGAUUAGCUAGUUGGCGGGGUACAGGCCCACCAAGGCGACGAUCCGUAGCUGAUCUGAGAGGAUGAUCAGCCACACUGGAACUGAUACACGGUCCAGACUCCUACGGGAGGCAGCAGUGGGGAAUAUUGGACAAUGGGCGCAAGCCUGAUCCAGCCAUACCGCGUGGGUGAAGAAGGCCUUCGGGUUGUAAAGCCCUUUUGUUGGGAAAGAAAUCCAGCUGGCUAAUACCCGGUUGGGAUGACGGUACCCAAAGAAUAAGCACCGGCUAACUUCGUGCCAGCCGCCGCGGUAA
rnacentral:rRNA from 1 species